GAUGAACGCUGGCGGCGUGCCUAAUACAUGCAAGUCGAGCGAACAGACGAGGAGCUUGCUCCUCUGACGUUAGCGGCGGACGGGUGAGUAACACGUGGAUAACCUACCUAUAAGACUGGGAUAACUUCGGGAAACCGGAGCUAAUACCGGAUAAUAUAUUGAACCGCAUGGUUCAAUAGUGAAAGACGGUUUUGCUGUCACUUAUAGAUGGAUCCGCGCCGCAUUAGCUAGUUGGUAAGGUAACGGCUUACCAAGGCAACGAGGCGUAGCCGACCUGAUAGGGGGAUCGGCCACACUGGAACUGAGACACGGUCCAGACUCCUACGGGAGGCAGCAGUAGGGAAUCUUCCGCAAUGGGCGAAAGCUUGACGGAGCAACGCCGCGUGAGUGAUGAAGGUCUUCGGAUCGUAAAACUCUGUUAUUAGGGAAGAACAAAUGUGUAAGUAACUAUGCACGUCUUGACGGUACCUAAUCAGAAAGCCACGGCUAACUACGUG
rnacentral:rRNA from 1 species